UACAGAGGGUGCAAGCGUUGUUCGGAAUUAUUGGGCGUAAAGGGAGUGUAGGCGGUUUGCUAAGUCUUCUGUGAAAUCUACGGGCUUAGCCUGUAAAGUGCAGAGGAAACUGGCAGACUUGAGUGUCGGAGAGGGCAGGGGAAUACCCAGUGUAGAGGUGAAAUUCGUAGAGGUUGGGUGGAACACCAGUGGCGAAGGCGCCUGCCUGGCUGACAACUGACGCUGAGACUCGAAAGCAUGGGGAGCAAACAGG
rnacentral:rRNA from 1 species